rnacentral:rRNA from 1 species
UACGUAGGGGGCUAGCGUUGUCCGGAAUCAUUGGGCGUAAAGCGCACGUAGGCGGCUUUUUAAGUCAGGGGUGAAAUCCUGGAGCUCAACUCCAGAACUGCCUUUGAUACUGAGAGCUUGAGUCCGGGAGAGGUGAGUGGAACUGCGAGUGUAGAGGUGAAAUUCGUAGAUAUUCGCAAGAACACCAGUGGCGAAGGCGGCUCACUGGCCCGGUACUGACGCUGAGGUGCGAAAGCGUGGGGAGCAAACAGG